AAGUCGUAACAAGGUUUCCGUAGGUGAACCUGCGGAAGGAUCAUUAUUGAAUUUAAUGUAGAGUUGGUUGUAGCUGGCCUAAUUAAUAAUUUGGGCAUGUGCACACCUUCUCUUUCAUCCACACACACCUGUGCACCUGUGAGACAGAGUGGGAAUCUUAAUUUAAUUUAAUUGGACCCUCUGUCUACUUAAUUCACACAAACUCUAUUUAUUAUAAAAUGAAUGUAAUUGAUGUAACGCAUCUAAUACUAAGUUUCAACAACGGAUCUCUUGGCUCUC
rnacentral:misc_RNA from 1 species